CGAAACAAGCUAGACGUCAACCAAACCCUCAGCAGACCCUAGCGAAAGCGAAUCCUAAUGAGGGUGUUGUCAGUGGCAUGUUCUGGACCCGAAGCGGGGUGAUCUACCCAUGGCCAGUGUGAAGCAGCUGUAAGAGGUUGUGGAGGCGCGAACCCACUUAGGUUGA
rnacentral:rRNA from 1 species